rnacentral:rRNA from 1 species
ACGUUUGGAAACGAACGCUAAUACCGCAUAACGUAUCUAGACUGCAUGGUUAGGAUACCRAAGAUUUAUUGCGCAAGGAUGGGCUCGCGUCUGAUUAUGUAGUUGGUAGGGUAACGGCCUACCAAGCCGACGAUCACUAGCCGGACUGAGAGGUUGAACGGCCACAUUGGAACUGASAUACKGUCCAKACUCCUACGGGAGGCAGCAGUGGGGAAUAUUGGGCAAUGGGCGAAAGCCUGACCCAGCGACGCCGCGUGAGGGAAGACGGUCUUCGGAUUGUAAACCUUUGUUGACAGGGACGAAGAAAAUGACGGUACCUGUCGAGGAAGCCACGGCUAACUACGUGCCAGCAGCCGCGGUAAUACGUAGGUGGCGAGCGUUAUCCGGAUUUACUGGGUGUAAAGGGUGUGUAGGCGGGAAGGCAAGUCAGAUGUGAAAAUUAUGGGCUCAACUCAUAACCUGCGUCUGAAACUACUUUUCUUGAGUGUCGGAGGGGUAAGUAGAAUUCCCGGUGUAGCGGUGAAAUGCGCAGAUAUCGGGAGGAAUACCGGUGGCGAAGGCGACUUACUGGACGACAACUGACGCUGAGACACGAAAGUGUGGGGAGCAAACAGGAUUAGAUACCCUGGUAGUCCACACUGUAAACGAUGAAUGCUAGGUGUGGGGGCGAAAGCCUCCGUGCCGGAGUUAACACAAUAAGCAUUCCGCCUGGGGAGUACGGCCGCAAGGCUGAAACUCAAAGGAAUUGACGGGAGCCCGCACAAGCAGUGGAGUAUGUGGUUUAAUUCGACGCAACGCGAAGAACCUUACCAGGACUUGACAUCCCGGGAACCCGGCGUAAUGGCUGGGGUGCCCUUCGGGGAAUCCGGUGACAGGUGGUGCAUGGUUGUCGUCAGCUCGUGUCGUGAGAUGUUGGGUUAAGUCCCGCAACGAGCGCAACCCUUACGGUUAGUCGCUACGCAAGAGCACUCUAGCCGGACUGCCGUUGACAAAACGGAGGAAGGUGGGGACGACGUCAAAUCAUCAUGCCCCUUACGUUCUGGGCUACACACGUACUACAAUGGCGAAAACAAAGGGAAGCAAUACCGCGAGGUGGAGCAAAUCCCAUAAAAAUCGUCCCAGUUCAGACUGCAGGCUGCAUACCGC